ACCUGACCAGCCUACCGCCCUUCGACACAAAAGCCUUGGAGGAUGAGGCAACCAAGAUUAAAAAAGAGGCAUCUGACCUGGACAAACUUAUUGAUAAAACUGAGAAGGAGUAUAAUGAUCUCCGGGAUGAUCUGAGAGGGAAAAGAGCAGGAAGUGCGCAAACUGCUUGAUAAAGGCAAGAGUGAGCAGCAGACUGCUGACCAGCUGCUUGCUCGUGCCGAUGCAGCUAAAGCUCUUGCUGAAGAAGCAGCAAAGAAAGGCCAGUCCACAUUCAGAG